GAACAUAUUUUCCGUUGUGUUCAAAGAAAGCUCUAAAGAUGAACUGUCCAUUCCUCGAAUGGUAUUUACAAAACUGGAUAGGUAAUAUUUUAUUUGUAUCGGAGUUGCAUUUCCAAGUACUGAUCCUGAAAUUGAGAAGUUUUUAAUAAAAAAGUUAGCAAAAUCAAUGAGGCUUUGAAUGGUUAUUUUGGACAUUUCAUCUUCUAGCCUGCUAAUUUUCAUAAAUCCUGGGUCAAGCAACUGGUAGGAAAGCGAAAGAAGUCUGAGAUUAUCAUUUUCUGACUUGAACGAAUUAAUAAUAUCUUGGAAACGUUGUUUGGCAUUCUGAAAGCUGGACUGCUUAAUAGAAGUUUGGAAUGUGGAUAGAAUAUUUGCAAUCUCAUUCAAACUGUCGGGAAAAAUAGAGGAAUAACCCCUCCAACUAAAUUCUAUGCCAUAGAAGAACUCUUGUAGCUCCCAAUGGUGAUAACUUCUUUCAAAAGAAAAGUUCUCAUUUAGGUGGCUAGGCAAAACAUCGUAAAGGGUAUUUUGGAAUAAGAACAUUAGUAUUGCUAGCUUUUCUGGGCAGCUGAAUUCUUUUGGAGGAUUGCUCGGGACCUGAAGUCUUACAGAAAUCAUUACAUCAGGAUUGAAUGAUGUCGGAAGGUAACAAAAACUUCUUGAAAUUGAAUCCAUUUUGUUUGUACUUAAAGCAACUACCAAAUCUCUUGGAUUUAUUGGAGUUGAUAAAUUUAAAUAAGAAAAGUCCGUAGAAUUAUUGGAAGCUUCUGAUAAGCUUAUUUCAGUAAGAUUUUUAGCCUGUUUAAACUCUUUAACUGCAUAGUAGAGAGGAAUAGGAAACUCUUUCUUGGGAACAUCUUCCGUAUAAAUAACGAAAUUUCUCGGGAAUUUGGGGUCUAUUUCAGGCAUUUGUAACUUUAAAAUAUCAUUAGCCAACGUGGAAUUAACAGACUGCAGUACCUCAAUGACUUUACUUGGAAUGUCCUCUAAUAAAUAUUCUCCACCUAGGUAUUCCUCUUUCAAAAACUUCGGAAAUGUGCCUACUUUUGUCCUAUGAAAAGCUGUGUUUACACUUCUGAAGAAGGAAGAUAUUGACUUUCUUGCACUCUUCCACUUACUAUCCAAGAAAAAUUGACUGGAAAGGAGGAUAUUGGAAGCACUCUUUUUGAAUUCUUUCUUUUCAAGAAUCAAUAUUAAAUUAUCAUACUUCAUAUGGUCUAUUAUCUCCUUUACAUGAUUAAAUUCUAUCUUAUUCAUUGAUACUCCUGCAUGUAAAACUUCUGGAGGUGAACAGUUCGUUCUCAAAAAUGUGUUAACAAUUUUUCUGGAUAGAUCUGAGUAAAGAGAAUCAAUAGAAGCCUCUAAGAUUGAUUGUCUCUUCUUUCUGAUCUGAUUAAUUAUUGUUUCUGAAAUGGAAACUUCUUUAAUCAGUUUUAGGAAAGAUAAAGUGAUCUCUAAAAUCUUUACAAUGGCUUUUUCACCUUUAGAGUUUAACUUAAAUCUAAUAAUAAAGUUUGAAAAACCAUUGUCAUUUACCUCAAUCAUAGUCUCUAAGCCUAAUAUUAUUCCAAUUCCCUUUAAAUAACUGUAAAGACUUUUAUUUGAAUAAUCUGUAAAGAAGAAUGAAAUAUACUCAGCAGGUUUGUACUUCCAAAGUGGGCUCUGGUGUGGAAUAGGGAAUAUCACCGUAAAAUAAGUGUUUUCUUCCGCAGAUUUUACCUGUAUUACUUUAUUAUUUAAAUCAAUAUAAGGAUGAAUGAUUUCAUUUGAAAGGUCAAAUGGAGUAAUUAGUUGUUUGCUCUGGUUUGGAAUUUCAUCAAAAAAUGUUCUUGCAAGACCUUCAAGCUCAUCUAUGCUUUUAUCUGAAACAAUUGAAAUAGUCAUCAAAUUUGAACUGUAGUAAGAGCCGUAAAACUUAAUUAGUUCAAAAAGAAGAGCUUCUGUAUCGAAAUCUAUAUUUGCCAUCAACCUUUUCAUAUUGCCCAUAUGAAAACCAUGGUUAACAUGGCCUUCAACAGAAAGUUCCUUAAGAAUUUGUUUAAGUUUUAUAGAACUCAUACCCAUUAAGGCUUCAAAGUCUGAUUGCAAUGCUUCCAUUGCUGGGUCUAAAUGAAUUCUUUUGGGGCUAAAACUUUUCAAGUAAGAACAGAAUUUUAUUAGUGCUUCAGAAAAAUACUCAUGCUUGAUAGAUAGAUGGUAUUCCGUUAAAAAUGGAGCAACUUUAGUCUUGAAAAUCCCAGAGUUACUGGAAAUAAAAAGAUCAUAUGGUGUCUCCCUGCCAACAUCAGGCCUCUUCCAAUCGUAAAACAACAAUUCACUUAAUAAAGUUGCCAAGCCUGGGAAUUUCUUAGGUUCCAUGGAGCUACCCACUCUAACCCCUAAAGUAAUUGAAGAAAAUAAACUGGAUCUCUGUGAUACAAGAAAAACCUGAAUAUCAUUUUUUAAUCUAAUAAAACUGUAUUUGUUUGAAUCCUUGACUGAUUUUAUAAAGUCUUCAUCGUAGAAACGGCUAUAAGCAUCAUUAAUGUUCUUUUUAGCUCGAUAUUCUGAUAUUCUAUUCAUUCCCCCUAUAUAAUAUUGACCAUCCAGAGCUAAAGAGUCGUUCUUUAUCAUUCUGGUACUUGAUUCUACCAAAAUAUCACUAAAAGAUGAAUUGUUUGCUGUUAAUGCAAUAUUAGAAGCUAGACAUCUCUCUAAACUAAGAGAAAGCUGAACUAAAAGUCCGAAUAAAAAUAUUUUUGAGGUCAUUUUUACCAACUUCUGAUCAAUUUCUUAGAAAUC
rnacentral:antisense_RNA from 1 species